rnacentral:rRNA from 1 species
UACGUAGGGUGCAAGCGUUGUCCGGAAUUAUUGGGCGUAAAGAGCUCGUAGGUGGCUUGUCACGUCUGCUGUGAAAACUCGGGGCUCAACCCCGAGCCUGCAGUGGAUACGGGCUAGCUAGAGUGCGGUAGGGGGAGACUGGAAUUCCUGGUGUAGCGGUGAAAUGCGUAGAGAUCGGGAGGAACAUCAGUUGCGAAGGCGGCUCUCCGGACCAACACUGACACUGAGGCACGAAAGCGUGGGGAGCAAACAGG